rnacentral:rRNA from 1 species
CCCCUAGACGUUCUGGGCUGCACGCGCGCAACAAUAAUACGCACAGCGAGUAUCACCGAGCUCGAAAGGGCAAGGUAAACAAUAGAAAAGGUACUGUAAUGGUUAUAGAUCCUUGUAAUUAUUGAUCUUCAACGAGGAAUUCCUAGUAAGUAUGUGUCAUCAUCACGCACUGAUUACGUCCCUGCCCUUUGUACACACCGCCCGUCGCUCCUACCGAUUGGGUGAGCCGAUGAAACUCUCGGAUGUAGGCUAUUCAUAGCCCGCAGAAGAGAUUUGAAUCGUAGCGCUUAGAGGAAGGAGAAGUCGUAACA